rnacentral:rRNA from 1 species
GAUGAACGCUGGCGGCGUGCCUAAUACAUGCAAGUCGAGCGAACGGACGAGAAGCUUGCUUCUCUGAUGUUAGCGGCGGACGGGUGAGUAACACGUGGAUAACCUACCUAUAAGACUGGGAUAAUUUCGGGAAACCGGAGCUAAUACCGGAUGAUAUUUUGAACCGCAUGGUUCAAAAGUGAAAGACGGUCUUGCUGUCACUUAUAGAUGGAUCCGCGCUGCAUUAGCUAGUUGGUAAGGUAACGGCUUACCAAGGCAACGAUGCAUAGCCGACCUGAGAGGGUGAUCGGCCACACUGGAACUGAGACACGGACCAGACUCCUACGGGAGGCAGCAGUAGGGAAUCUUCCGCAAUGGGCGAAAGCCUGACGGAGCAACGCCGCGUGAGUGAUGAAGGUCUUCGGAUCGUAAAACUCUGUUAUUAGGGAAGAACAUAUGUGUAAGUAACUGUGCACAUCUUGACGGUACCUAAUCAGAAAGCCACGGCUAACUACGUG